GUGGGGAGUAAUACACAAGGAAUGCAAUCUGAAUUCUAGUUGUUGUAAAGUUAAGUAACGAUCCAAACUAGAAGUUCUCUGCCUAGUGCUGAUCAAAAGAUUUGAAGUGUAUAAAUAGAUCACACACACGCAAAGAAAUUUUAGAAUUGAUGCAAACAAGGAGUAUGAUUGGGAUGCAAGUGUUGCAAUCAGACCCAACCAAAGUUUUGCACCAAACAAAGAUAGCAAACUGGUUGCAGAACUUGAUAUGAAACUUUCAGCACUUGUGCACAUAAACCAAAUAAUCUUUCAGACUUUCUCUCUGAACCUUUCUCAACUUUUUUCACUUCACUUUUUUUUGCACUUUCUUUUGUUUUUUUGUCACACUUUUUUUUCUUUUUAUAUAGAACUAAAAACAGGGAUCAGAUUAUGAUACUUGCACAACUAAAGACAGAAAUAAAACAACAACCAAUAGCUAGAUAGGAUCAAAGUUAACACAAAGGAUGAUAUAGGCUAUAGAGUUUUUUGUGGGGAUUUUUAGAUAUAAAAGAGGCACAAAGAACACGAGAAGGAUAAAUGAUCAGCAACUAAAACAAAGACUCUGAUGGACUGCGACUUAACCGAACUCACUAAAAUAACAGAUUGAAAGAAAGGUCUUAGCAAUAUAUUUUUUUGGCUUUUUGGUGGAUAGGACGAAGCAAAAAUAUAUAUGUAGCUAGGGAUAAAAUUCCUACCGUGGUAACAAAAGCUUUGAUACCAGAUGAUGCGACACGUUGUCCCGAUCUUCACGACGUAGGAAGAACACCGAUAACUAAGUGAAGAAUAGUCGGAUAACUUGCUGCAAGCAGCGAUAACUAGUGCAACCUGGCAAUUAAAACUCAAAGCCAACCACCGUCUUUAACCGGCAACCUGAAUCGAGGAUUCGGCCAACCACACUCUAAAAAAACCAACCAACACAACCUACAAUCAAUUAAGGAAUACCUUGAAGGGAGUAGGAGCACCAAUUGGGAGCGGAUGAAGCCACUGCCUAUGUAAUCCCGCGAGAAAAUCACAAGAUCAAGGGGUAGAGAUCACUCUCUGAAUAUUUGCU
rnacentral:lncRNA from 1 species